UGUGCCGCGUUUAACGCAAUACAAUACAACUUUCAGCAACGGAUCUCUUGGCUCUCGCAUCGAUGAAGAACGCAGCGAAAUGCGAUAAGUAAUGUGAAUUGCAGAAUUCAGUGAAUCAUCGAAUCUUUGAACGCACCUUGCGCCCUUUGGCCAUUCCGAAGGGCAUGCCUGUUUGAGUAUCAUGAACACCUCAACUCUCAUGGCUUGCCAUGAUGAGCUUGGACUUUGGGGGUCUUGCUGGCCUGCGGUCGGCUCCUCUCAAAUGAAUCAGCUUGCCAGUGUUUGGUGGCAUCACAGGUGUGAUAACUAUCUACGCUUGUGGUUUUCCACCAGGUAACCUUCAGUGAUGGAGGUUCGCUGGAGCUCAUAAACGUCUCUCCUCGGUGAGGACAGCUCUUUGAACGUUUGAUCUCAAAUCAGGUAGGACUACCCGCUGAACUUAAGCAUAUCAAUAAGCGGAGGAAAAGAAACUAACAAGGAUUCCCCUAGUAACUGCGAGUGAAGCGGGAAGAGCUCAAAUUUAAAAUCUGGCGUGCCUCUGGUCGUCCGAGU
rnacentral:rRNA from 1 species